rnacentral:rRNA from 1 species
GACGAACGCUGGCGGCGUGCCUAAUACAUGCAAGUCGAACGGAGUGGCGCACGGGUGAGUAAUAUAUAGCUAAUCUGCCCCUAGCUGGAGGACAACAGUUAGAAAUGACUGCUAAUACUCCAUAGAAAGGGAUGUGUCUAUAUCGUAUCAGCUAGUCGGUGGGGUAACGGCCUACCGAGGGUAUGACGAGUAACGGGUGUGAGAGGAUGAUCAGUCAAAUUGGAACUGAGACACGGUCCAGACGCCUACGGGAAGCAGCAGUAGGGAGUAUUGCGCAAGGGGGGAAACCCUGACGGAGCAACGCCGCGUAGAGGAUGACACUUUUCGGAGCGUAAACUCCUUUUGUUAGGGAAGCGGUACCUAACGAAUAAGCACCGGCUAACUCCGUGCCAGCAGCCGCGGUAAUUC